rnacentral:rRNA from 1 species
CCUACGUGUGGCAGCAGUGAGGACUAUUGGUCAAUGGCCGGAAGGCUGAACCAGCCAUGUAGCGUGAAGGAUGACUGCCCUACGGGUUGUAAACUUCUUUUAUAAAGGAAUAAAGUGAGGCACGUGUGCCUUUUUGUAUGUACUUUAUGAAUAAGGAUCGGCUAACUCCGUGCCAGCAGCCGCGGUAAUCCGGAGGAUCCGAGCGUUAUCCGGAUUUAUUGGGUUUAAAGGGAGCGUAGAUGGGUUGUUAAGUCAGUUGUGAAAGUUUGCGGCUCAACCGUAAAAUUGCAGUUGAUACUGGCAGUCUUGAGUAGAGUUGAGGUAGGCGGAAUUCGUGGUGUAGCGGUGAAAUGCUUAGAUAUCACGAAGAACUCCGAUUGCGAAGGCAGCUUACUAAACUGCGACUGACAUUGAUGCUCGAAAGUGUGGGUAUCAAACAGGAUUAGAUACCCUGGUAGUC